rnacentral:rRNA from 1 species
CCUGAUGACCAUAGCGAGUUGGUCCCACCCCUUCCCAUCCCGAACAGGACCGUGAAACGACUUUGCGCCGAUGAUAGUGCUGCAACCAGUGU